rnacentral:lncRNA from 1 species
AGCUCCUGCCCUCCCCGCAGCUCCCUGGCGCUCUGUAUGCUCAGAGCGUAGAUCUCGGCCCCCGCCCGCUGAAGCGGUGGACAGGCACCCCCGUUUUAAUUUGCCUUUAGCAGACCUCUAGGCAAGGAUAGGGGCUCCACACAAGGAUGCCUGUCCCAUGCCGCUCAGGUCAGGGGCUCUGCCGCAGGAUGCCCUGUCCCGCGCUGCCCAGGCCCCGCCUCCCAGCCCACCUGGCUCUCUCCCUGCAGGCCCAGGAAGGACGUGCCCCACAGAUGCAGCACUCACUUUGACGCGGUGGCCCAGAUCCGGGGUGAAGCUUUCUUCUUCAAAGGCAAGUACUUCUGGCGGCUGACGCGGGACCGGCACCUGGUGUCCCUGCAGCCGGCACAGAUGCACCGCUUCUGGCGGGGCCUGCCGCUGCACCUGGACAGCGUGGACGCCGUGUACGAGCGCACCAGCGACCACAAGAUCGUCUUCUUUAAAGGACCAGCUGUACUGGCGCUACGAUGACCACACGAGGCACAUGGACCCCGGCUACCCCGCCCAGAGCCCCCUGUGGAGGGGUGUCCCCAGCACGCUGGACGACGCCAUGCGCUGGUCCGACGGUGCCUCCUACUUCUUCCGUGGCCAGGAGUACUGGAAAGUGCUGGAUGGCGAGCUGGAGGUGGCACCCGGGUACCCACAGUCCACGGCCCGGGACUGGCUGGUGUG